rnacentral:rRNA from 1 species
AACGGGGGGGGCUAGUGUUAUUCAACCUGACUGGGCGUAAAGGGCAUGUAGGCUGUUCUUUAAGUUUUUGGUAAAAGACUCGGUCUCAAACCGAGAAGGACCUUUUAUACUGUUGAACUAGAGUUUAAUAGAACAAGACGGUACGACCAGUGUAGAAGUGAAAUUCGCAAAAAUUGGUAGGACCAUCGUCUGGCGAAGGCGGUCUUGUAUUUUAAACUGACGCUAAGGUGCGAAAGCAUGGGUAUCGAACAGG